rnacentral:rRNA from 1 species
CAAUAGCGUAUAUUAACGUUGUUGCAGUUAAAAAGCUCGUAGUUGGAUUUCUGGAGGGAGCGUCGGCCCGUAUUUACGAGUGCGUGACGUCUCUGUCCAUCCUUGCGGGAAGGCACGGCAUUGAUUUGUUGUGUCGGAUCGCAUCAUUUACUGUGAAAAAAUUAGAGUGUUCAAAGCAGGCUUUCGCUUGAAUACAUUAGCAUGGAAUAAUAAGAUAUGACUUUGGUGCUAUUUUGUUGGUUGAGCCUAAAGUAAUGAUUAAUAGGGAUAGUUGGGGGCACCUGUAUUGCGUUGUCAGAGGUGAAAUUCUUGGAUUUACGCAAGACAAACAGCUGCGAAAGCGUCUGCCAAGGAUGUUUUCAUUA